AUACUGAAUCCUACAGCUGUCACCAUUCAGAACAUACUGAAUCCUACAGCUGUCACCAUUCAGAACAUACUGAAUCCUACAGCUGUCACCCUUCCGUUUCCAUAACAUACUGAAUCCUACAGCUGUCACCAUUCAGAACAUACUGAAUCCUACAGCUGUCACCAUUCAGAACAUACUGAAUCCUACAGCUGUCACCAUUCAGAACAUACUGAAUCCUACAGCUGUCACCAUUCCGUUUCCAUAACAUACUGAAUCCUACAGCUGUCACCCUUCCGUUUCCAUAACAUACUGAAUCCUACAGCUGUCACCAUUCAGUUUCCAUAACAUACUGAAUCCUACAGCUGUCACCAUUCAGAACAUACUGAAUCCUACAGCUGUCACCAUUCAGAACAUACUGAAUCCUACAGCUGUCACCAUUCAGAACAUACUGAAUCCUACAGCUGUCACCAUUCAGAACAUACUGAAUCCUACAGCUGUCACCAUUCAGAACAUACUGAAUCCUACAGCUGGCACCAUUCAGUUUCCAUAACAUACUGAAUCCUACAGUUGUCACCAUUCAGUUUCCAUAACAUACUGAAUCCUACAGCUGUCACCAUUCAGAACAUACUGAAUCCUACAGCUGCCACACUUCAAGUACAGUCAGUACAAAUUAUACACAAGAUAUCCCAUCAGACUGUAGUAGUAUUGAGACUCUUUGAUUUGUCUGACAGUCACCUGAGAUGUUCUUUUACACUGAGAUGCUCAGUGAAGACAUUCAAUAGACACUGACGACAGCCAUAUCGUCUCCUCCACCAGAGCAGUAUUGAUCACAUCUCUCUGCGUGGCUGUCUGAUUAAAUGUUCUCUCUCUCCGACCGUCACACACUGAGAUGUGAUGGUCGGACACGUGAUUGACAGUGGUGUUUUUACCUGACAGUACUGUAGGGACCAGGUUGAAGAGAGUUAUGGUUGUUGUGAUGGUUAGAGUUGUUGUGAUGGUUAGAGAUAGGGUUAGGGUUGUUGUGAUGGUUAGAGAUAGGGUUAGGGUUGUUGUGAUGGUUAGAGAUAGGGUUAGGGUUGUUGUGAUGGUUAGAGAUAGGGUUAGGGUUGUUGUGAUGGUUAGAGAUAGGGUUAGGGUUGUUGUGAUGGUUAGAGAUAGGGUUAGGGUUGUUGUGAUGGUUAGAGAUAGGGUUAGGGUUGUUGUGAUGGUUAGAGAUAGGGUUAGGGUUGUUGUGAUGGUUAGAGAUAGGGUUAGGGUUGUUGUGAUGGUUAGAGAUAGGGUUAGGGUUGUUGUGAUGGUUAGAGAUAGGGUUAGGCUUGUUGUGAUGGUUAGAGAUAGGGUUAGGGUUGUUGUGAUGGUUAGAGAUAGGGUUAGGGUUGUUGUGAUGGUUAGAGAUAGGGUUAGGGUUGUUGUGAUGGUUAGAGAUAGGGUUAAGGUUGUUGUGAUGGUUAGAGAUAGGGUUAGGGUUGUUGUGAUGGUUAGAGAUAGGGUUAGGGUUGUUGUGAUGGUUAGAGAUAGGGUUAGGGUUGUUGUGAUGGUUAGAGAUAGGGUUAGGGUUGUUGUGAUGGUUAGAGAUAGGGUUAAGGUUGUUGUGAUGUGGGGUAGUCUACUGGUGUUGUCCACAUGGUCCUGUGGGUGGGGUGGUGUACAGUCUGGUUGGAUAAUGUCAUUAUCUAUAAAAGGUAAAAGAAGUCGAUCGUUUGUUUGAAGAGAAGCUUCAAGUCUGUUUCAACACAAUGCUCUUAACAUCUUACCAGAAAUAGGCUGACAGAUUCUUCUGUAGCUGUGGUAUCAUCACUGCCUCAUCUUCAAAAGGAGGGAGACUUUAGACAUGAUUUUCAGUUUUGGCUCGAGGGCCACAUCGGGAUUUUGAAAUUCAACGGAGGGAUGCAUUUUUUGGGGGACCAAUUGUUUGUUAUAAUCAAUUUGCGGGGGCCUCCCGAGUGGCGCAGCGGUCUAAGGUACUGCAUCGCAGUGCUAGAAGCGUCAUUACAGACCCGGGUUCGAUCCCGGGCCGUGUCAUAGUUGGCCGUGACUAAAACACCCAUGAGGCGGCGCAUAAUUGGCCCAUUGUCGUCCGGGUUAGGAGAGGGUUUGGCAGGCCAAGAUUUCCUUGUCCCAUCGCGCUCUAGUGACUCCUGUGGCAGGCCGGGCGCAUGCACGCUGACACGGUCGCCAGGUGUACGGUGUUUCCUCCGACACAUUGGUGCAGCUGGUUUCCGGGUUAAGCGGGCAUUGUGUCAAGAAGCAGUGCGGCUUGGCUGGGUUGUGUUUCGGAGGAUGCUGGGUCGUGUUUCGACCUUCGCCUCUCCCGAGUCCUUAAGGGAGUUGCAGCGAUGGGACAAGAAAGGGCUAAAUUAUUUUUCUUUUUGUCUCGUGGGCCAGAUUGAACUGCCCCGCGGGCCGUACUUUGCCCCCCUCCCCCCUUGCUCUAAGGUAUAUGCAGGACUUGGGCAGGAGCUCACAGGAGCCGAGUACAGGCACCUGAAAUGUUCAACUGCUUGAACUCCUGUUCCUGUUAUUGAAUAUUAUCUCAAAAGUAUUGUGGAACUCCUGCACCUAAAUAUAAGCAGUACUGGCAACCAAAAUGAGUACCGACACCUAUUUCAAUCCAUCUCAAGCACUGGGUAUAUGUUAAAGCAAUCGUCUUAGUCGUGAGAACAGGACAACUUAUCACGGGACACUGUCUCAACACAACAUGCUUGUUUGUUUGAAGCCCUUCUAGUAUUGGUAAAGACAAACCAUUUAUUGGGAAAAAAAUGGUAUCAAAUCAAAGUGUAUUUGUCACGUGCCAUGUACAACAGAUGUAGACGUUACUGUGAAAUGCUUACUGACGAGCCCUUUUCCAAAACAACGCAGAAUUACAAUGUAAUAAUUGAAUGGUAAAGAAAAUGCAAUCGAAUUCUGCAUCGUUCUAUUGUCUGUUUCUAGUAUCAACGUUCCAACAAAGUCCAUGUCAGGGCAAUAUAAUAAUACACAUACCCUGGCCUGGCUCUUGAUAUACCCUGGCCUGGCUCUUGAUAUACCCUGGCCUGGCUCUUGAUAUACCCUGGCCUGGCUCUUGAUAUACCCUGGCCUGGCUCUUGAUAUACCCUGGCCUGGCUCUUGAUAUACCCUGGCCUGGCUCUUGAUAUACCCUGGCCUGGCUCUUGAUAUACCCUGGCCUGUGUGCCAGGCUCUUGACAACUUCUUAUGGAAUUGCCUUUUGGCUUGAAAAUAACAUUGGAGUUGGCACCCAGGCUAUAUACAGUGCCUUCGGAAAAUCUUCAGACCCCUCGACUUUUUCAACAUUUUGUUACGUUACAACCUUAUUCUAAAAUGUAUCAAAUGAAAAUGUACAUACAGUACCAGUCAAAAGUUUGGACUCAUUCAAGGGUUUUUCUUUAUUUUGACUAUUUUCUACAUUGUAGAAUAAUAGUGAAGACAUCAACACUAUGAAAUAACACAUAUGGAAUCACGUAGUAACUAAAAAAGUGUUUAAACAAAUGAAAAUAUAUUUUAUAUUUCAGAUUCUUCAAAGUAGCCAUCCUUUGCCUUGAUGACAGUUUUGCACACUCUUGUCAUUCUCUCAACCAGCUUCAUGAGGUAGUCACCUGGAAUGCAUUUCAAUUAACAGGUGUGCCUUGUUGAAAGUUAAUUUGUGGAAUUUUUUUCCUUAAUGCGUUUGAGCCAAUCAGUUGUGUCGUGACAAGGUAGGGGUGGUGUACAGAAGAAGCCUGUUUGGUAAAAGACCAAGUCCAUAUUAUGGCAAGAACAGCUCAAAUAAGAGAAGUGACAGUCCAUCAUUACUUUAAGACAUAAAGGUCAGUCAAUACGAAAAAUGUCAAGAACUUUGAAAGUUUCUUCAAGUGCAGUCGCAAAAAAACAUCAAGCUCUAUGAUGAAACUGACUCUCAUGAGGACCGCCACAGGAAAGGAAGACCCAGAGUUACCUCUGCAGCAAAGGAUAAAUUCAUUGGAGUGUUAUUUCAGUGUUGAUGUCUUCACUAUUUCAGUUUUGAUGUCUCUUCACUAUUAUUCUACAAUGUAGAAAAUAGUCAAAUGAAAAGAAAAACCCUUGAAUGAGUAGGUUUUCUAAAACUUUUGACCGGUACUGUAUAUGUCUUGGACCAGGCUAUAUAUGUUUGUCUGUAUCUUUUCUGUUAACAAUGUAUUAGUGUAUCGUAUUUUCUUUAUUUCUUGAUGCGCAUAACUGUUGGCUGAGCAGCAGUCCUCGACUUGGGCUGGAGCUGAGUACCAGCACCUCAAAUGUUCUACGGCUUCAGCUCCCGUUCCUCUUAUAGAAUAUCAACUCAAAUGUAUUGUGGAGCUCCUGCACCUGAAUAUAAACAGUAACGACACCUAUUUCAGUCCAUGUCGAGUACUGCUGAGCAGUGUGGAAGGGAGGGGCUAACGCUGGUGGUUUUAUAUAGAGAAAAAUAGCUCUGGUCCAGGGUGUGGUUUGGUAAUGUUCUCAGCGUCGCCCUGGACCAGAGUUAAAGAUAUGAACGUCAGCACGUCCAUUAUAGAUGUACAUAGUGUAUUUCUCUGCUUUGGUUUACGACAAUAUAAGCUGUUUUUCUUACUUUAUACGUUUGUACUUCUGUGAAAUAAAGAUUAUUAUUUUAUCA